GACAACCUAAGGAAGGCAGAACCAAAAAGCAGCAGUACUAAGUGCUGUAGCUUUGGUCGGGAGCAGCCAGCGGCCAGGGUGCUCAACCUGAGCAGUGCAACCUCUGUAAGCAUUUAUUGGCAGCCGUAGGACAGCAAGCGCGUCUACGCAAACAGAGGGAUGAGAGAGCUGAGACCUGAACACCUGUUUCUUCUGUGGCCACAUCCUGGAGAGCAAGGCAGAAAGGUGUCGUGUUCCACAGCUCUAGGAGCGGGUCUGGCUGCCAGAGUGUCACCAUCCUUCAUUAACUAAGGGCCAGGAAGUUUCAUGAUAAAGACAAGCCUACCGCAGAUCUUUCCUACCCCACACGAACGUGGUCCCCGAGCAGAUAAGAUACCAAACGUUAUACAGCACAGGCACUGCCAGUAGCCAAGGUGGGGUGGCAUGGUCUUUGUUUGUAAGACUACUAACUAACCACCCAUUCAGCCUGAGACAAAAAUCCAGGAUACUCUUGGUGGACAUCGGGAGAACGGGCUUUCCUAGCCUUGGAGUCAAACAGGGCCUAGGAUCAGGGACCAGAGACAGGCGCCAAGCAAGGGCCCUGGGCUGAGAUGAGCUACACCUUAGUUCCUAGCCUCUGGCCACAUCCUCUACCCAAAGGCUCUGCAGAUCUCAUGACUCUCACCUGCUCUCCUCCUGACUCUCACAAACCUGCUUCCUGAUAACUCUACCUCUUAUCACCGAUGUAUGAUUUCAUGCAGUAAUAUUCACACAUUUUAUUGUUGUUUUGCUUUAUUUCUGGGUUCUGGGGAUCGAACCUAGGACUUGCAAACCUCUGAGCCAAGCCCCCAGAGCCCUUACUCAUACACUUUAAACUCCGUAUCUGUGGAUUCUUCUCCCUGCACGCAGCCAUGGACAAAUACU